rnacentral:rRNA from 1 species
GACGGAGGAUGCAAGCGUUAUCCGGAAUGAUUGGGCGUAAAGCGUCCGCAGGUGGCAAUUCAAGUCUGCUGUUAAAGCGCAGGGCUUAACUCUGUAAAGGCAGUGGAAACUGAAUAGCUAGAGUGUGGUAGGGGCAGAGGGAAUUCCCAGUAUAGCGGUGAAAUGCGUAGAGAUUGGGAAGAACAUCGGUGGCGAAGGCGCUCUGCUGGACCAUAACUGACACUCACAGGACGAAAGCUAGGGGAGCGAAUGGG